UUCUAGCAAUAGCAGGUAUGUAGGUGCUGCAUGGUUGUCGUCAGCUCGUGCCGUGAGGUGUCGGCUUAAGUGCCAUAACGAGCGCAACCCACAUUAUUAGUUACUAACAGGUCAUGCUGAGGACUCUAAUAAGACUGCCGUCGUAAGAUGCGAGGAAGGUGUGGAUGACGUCAAAUCAGCACGGCCCUUACGUCCGGGGCGACACACGUGUUACAAUGGGAGGUACAAAGGGCUGCUACCUGGUGACAGGAUGCUAAUCCCCAAAGCCUCUCCCAGUUCGGAUCGGAGUCUGCAACUCGACUCCGUGAAGCUGGAUUCGCUAGUAAUCGCGCAUCAGCCAUGGCGCGGUGAAUACGUUCCCGGGCCUUGUACACACCGCCCGUCAAGCCAUGGGAGCCGGGGGUAUCUGAAGUGCGUAACCGCAAGGAGCGUCCUAGGGUAAAACUGGUGACUGGGGCUAAGUCG
rnacentral:rRNA from 1 species